GCAAACUUGGUCAUUUAGAGGAAGUAAAAGUCGUAACAAGGUCUCCGUUGGUGAACCAGCGGAGGGAUCAUUACUGAGUUGCAAGACUCCAAACCCAUGUGAACUUACCGUGUUGCCUCGGCGGUAACUGCAUUCUAGAUAGGUGCCUACCCGGUACCUACCCUAGAGCUACCCGGGAGAGACCUACCCGGUAGUUACCCGGUAGUUACCCUGUAACUACCCGGGAGCUACCCUGUAGCUACCCUGUAGCGCUUGCAUACCGCCGAAGGAAUACUUAAACGCUUGUUUCUGGUUGGCAUAUCUGAGUUGUGGCAUAAAUAAGUUAAAACUUUCAACAACGGAUCUCUUGGUUCUGGCAUCGAUGAAGAACGCAGC
rnacentral:misc_RNA from 1 species